rnacentral:miRNA from 1 species
UCAGCGCUCUUGAGUGAGAUGAGACAGAAUCCAGUACCUUGGGCAGCACUCCAGAAUUCUGGGAUGUAGGACACAUGGUCUACUCCCUCUC